UACGUAGGGGGCUAGCGUUGUCCGGAAUCAUUGGGCGUAAAGCGCGUGUAGGCGGCCCGGUAAGUCCGCUGUGAAAGUCGGGGGCUCAACCCUCGAAAGCCGGUGGAUACUGUCGGGCUCGAGUACGGAAGAGGCGAGUGGAAUUCCUGGUGUAGCGGUGAAAUGCGCAGAUAUCAGGAGGAACACCAAUUGCGAAGGCAGCUCGCUGGGACGUUACUGACGCUGAGACGCGAAAGCGUGGGGAGCAAACAGG
rnacentral:rRNA from 1 species